GAAGGCUGAAAUUCGCCUUCAUGAAGCCGGAAUUGCUAGUAAUGGCAGGUCAGCAUACUGCCGUGAAUACGUUCCCGGGCCUUGUACACACCGCCCGUCACACCAUGAGAGUUGGGAAUACCCGAAGCCUGUGAGCUAACGUUAAGAGGCAGCAGUCGAAGGUAGAAUCAAUGAUUGGGGUGAAGUCGUAACAAGGUAGC
rnacentral:rRNA from 1 species